rnacentral:rRNA from 1 species
AAGGCUCCGACCGCGGCUUCGGCCGCGGGAAGGGCGCACUUAUUAGGCGAAAACCAAUCGGCUUCGGCCGUUGGUGGACGACACCCGAGUAAUUGCCGCCGAUCGCACGGCCUCGAGCCGGCGACGCUUCCACUGAGUUUCUGAUCUAUCAUGCUGUCGACGGUUGGUGCUAUGCCAACCGUGGCGUUAACGGAUAACAGAGAAUCUGGGUUCGAUUCUGGAGAGGCCGCAUGAGAAACGGCGACCACUUCCAAGGAAGGCAGCAGGCACGCAAACUACCCACUUCGGACACCGAGAGGUAGUGACGAACAAUACCGAUGCGGUGCACUUACGCGUCGCCGUAAUCGGAAUGAGUACACUUCAAAUCCUUUAACGAGGAUCCACUGGAGGGCAAGCCUGGUGCCAGCAGCCGCGGUAAUUCCAGCUCCAGCAGCGUAUAUUUAUAUUGCUGCGUUUAAAAAGCUCGUAGUUGAAGCGUCAAACGCGGGGAGGACGGACGGCCGCACUGGUCGCUUCUCGUCCGAC